rnacentral:pre_miRNA from 15 species
CUCAGGAUGAUCCAUGAAUUUCUCUUGUCCUUCAUUCCACCGGAGUCUGUCUCAUAUCUAAUCAGAUUUCAGUGGAGUGAAGCAUAAGAGGCAUGGAGUUGA